CUGUUCCCCUUGGCAGCACACAUGCUAACACUGGAAUGACACAGAGAAGACGAGCAUGGUCUCUGCCCAAGGAUCACAUGCAAUUUCAUGAAGCCUUCCAUACUUUU
rnacentral:snRNA from 1 species